rnacentral:rRNA from 1 species
UACGGAGGGGGCAAGCGUUAUUCGGAAUUACUGGGAGUAAAGAGAGCGUAGGCGGCUUGACAAGUCAGGGGUGAAAGCCUUUAGCUUAACGACAGAAUUGCCUUCGAUACUGGAAAGCUUGAGAGCGGAUGAGGUCAGCAGAAUGUGGCAUGUAGAGGUGAAAUUCAUAGAUAUGCCGAAGAACACCGAUUGCGAAGGCGGCGGGCUGGGCCUAUUCUGACGCUGAGGCUCGAAAGCGUGGGGAGCGAACAGG